UGGGGAAUAUUGGACAAUGGGCGCAAGCCUGAUCCAGCAAUGCCGCGUGUGUGAAGAAGGCCUGCGGGUUGUAAAGCACUUUCAGAGGGGAGGAAGUGGUGUUAGUUAAUACCUAGCACUGUUGACGCUACCCUCAGAAGAAGCACCGGCUAACUCUGUGCCAGCAGCCGCGGUAAUACAGAGGGUGCGAGCGUUAAUCGGAAUUACUGGGCGUAAAGGGUGUGUAGGUGGUUAUAGUAAGUCAGGUGUUAAAACCCCGGGCUCAACCUGGGAACGUCGCUUGAUACUGCUAAGCUAGAGUACUAUAGAGGAUAGUGGAAUUUCCAGUGUAGCGGUGAAAUGCGUAGAUAUUGGAAGGAACACCAGUGGCGAAGGCGACUAUCUGGAUAGAUACUGACACUGAAACACGAAAGCGUGGGUAGCAAACAGG
rnacentral:rRNA from 1 species